rnacentral:lncRNA from 1 species
GCAGAUUUAAGCCACCAAGCCUUGUCUCCCUGAGCAGCAGCGGAGUGGGUUGAAAAUUUUAGAUCUUAUCUCCCUAAGUAGUGGUGGAGCAGAUCGAAGACGGCAAAUCUUAUCCUUCCAAGAUAGUGGGUAGCAGAUUUAAGUCACCAAGCCUUGUCUCCCUGAACAGCAGCGGAGUGAGUUGAAAAUUGUAGAUCUUAUCUCACUAAGCAGUAGUGAAGCAGAUCGAAGACGGCAAAUCUUAUCCUUCCAAGAUAGUGGGUAGCAGAUUUAAG